ACAAAACAUUCCCAUCACACACCAACUAGCCAUACGUGGAAAAAAUCUCAAUGAGUCGGAAACAUAUCUCAGUACAUUAGGAGUUCAUUUGGAAGUGUUUUUAAAAUGGUUGAAAGCGUUUAUAGUGAAAAUGUUUUUGGAAUCAAUUCUAAGGACUCGUUUGAAUGUACUUGUAAAAUGAUUGAAAGUAUUUUUAGAUAAAAUGUUUUUGGAUUGCAAAAGCACUUUAAAUGCUUUCUACAAGAAGCACAAUUUAUGUGCUUUCUUUCAAAAAGCACUUUAAAUGUUUUUCUAGGGUUUACUAGCAUUUUUACUAAGGAUAGUUUUCAAAAAUAUUUUCACCAAAAGUGCUUGCAGUUAUUUUAAAAGCACAUCCAAACGAAUUCUAAAUAAAAUACAAGUGAAUCCUGGAAAAUCACUUAAAGUGCUUCCUGCAAGAAACACGAGUUAUGUGCUUCUUACAAGUGCUUUUAGAAAUCAAAAAUAUUUUCGCUAAAAACACUUUCAAUCAUUUUAAAAGUAAUUUCAAACACACCCUAUAUGUCAUAACACAAGUGGUUAAUUUGUUUUUUCAAGUAUCUAACCACUUACAUUAUAACACUUAAAUAUACCGACAUGUGUUCUUGACACAUUAAAAUUUCUCCAUCCCAUACGUGCAACAAAUGACAAAACCAAUCACUCUAAUAAAAAUUAUACAAUAAAAUGGAUAUUAAUGCAGUAGUUCAAUUGAAUGUCAAACUUGUCCACUCCAAUAUUCAGUACACAUUACACAAUCACCAUAAACAUGAUUGUGACUCUAGGGUUGGUUGUAGAAAUGGUUUUUGAAUUUGCCUCUGAGCUUGAUUUUUUAUUUUGUUUUAUUUACCGACUAUUUAAGAGCAAAAUAGUCGUUAAUUCUAGGUCAUUUUUACUCCACCAUUGAAGAGAGGACAAUCGAAUAGCGUGGCCGUCGACGAGAAGAAGGGUGGGGGUGAUUUGUCUGAGAAGUAGGAACGACAACACGUUCUGAGGAGAAUGGUGACGGAGUUCAGGGCGAGUAACGGUAAGUUUGGGAUGCGGUAAUGGUCUGGGGAGGGGGAGUGAGUUGAUUGAAUUUAGUAGCAAAUGUUGGAUUGUAGAAUCUAAAAAAGAAUUUGAGAGGCUAAAAUGUAAUUCGGGUAUUAGUACUACGAUCUAGUAUUAUUUCUCUCUACUUGUAAGUGAAAAAUUUUAGGUUUGAAUCUUGAAAGUAACGAGUUAAUAACAACUUAAUUCCCUCGUAUUCUUAGUGUAAAUAUGUACAUAUAACAAAAUGUAAUUCUAAAAUUAAUUUAGUGACCAUUCUACAAUUCAUUAUAUCAUCAAUUUUGGAAUCCCUUUCUUGACUUAUGUGAAAAUCCAAACAAAUUUAAUCCCUCAAUUUUUUUUCAGAUUUUGGAAAGAAUGGCAUCAUUGAAUUCAAUAUCGUGAUAUGGGAGACUGAGUAAGCUAAAUUUGGAGUACUUUAAUGUCACACUAAAUAUGGUACCGACAAUAGACAUAGGCCAAAGUCAUAGGUUUAACGCAGACAAUAGUGAAUACUGAAUACUAGAUGGAAGGCGGCUUUAAAGUUUUCGGCGUACCAAAUUUUGAUACUAUUUUUAUAACUUGGCAGUGUACUCUUCUUUCUGUCCUCAAAUUUGAAUUAUUAUUAUUUAGUUAAAAUAAAUUUAGUGUAAAAUAUUGUUUUCUAAAAGAAAAAGGAAAAUAUCUAGAAAUAAGACAAUUUUUUAAUCUUGGGAUAGAAAUAGGACAUUUCGAAUAUGCACACGCUAUGCACAACAAUUGUACAGAAAUAUGAUUUUUUCUACACCUUGAAAUUACCAAAUUGUCCUCCUAUAUAAAUGAGUUAUCUAGAAAUUUCAGCCUUCAUUUCUCAUUUUGUAGAAAGAGAAAUAGAGAGGAGAGAGAGAGAUUGAGAAAAUCUCUUUUGCCCAAUUCCAGUUCGAAGAACUCCAACCCACCCAUCUUCUUCAUCCAAGAUCUCUCUCUUUGUCUCUCUCUCUCUCUCUCUCUCUCUCUCUCUCUCUCUCUCUUUCUCUCUUUCUCUCUCUCUCUCUCUCUCUCUCUCUCUCUCUCUCU
rnacentral:lncRNA from 1 species